CACGUAGGGGGCAAGCGUUGUCCGGAUUUAUUGGGCGUAAAGAGCUCGUAGGCUGUUCGAUAAGUCGGGUGUGAAACCUCCAGGCUCAACCUGGAGACGCCACCCGAUACUGUCAUGACUAGAGUCCGGUAGGGGAGCGUGGAAUUCCCAGUGUAGAGGUGAAAUUCGUAGAUAUUGGGAAGAACACCGGUGGCGAAGGCGGCUCUCUGGACCACAACUGACGCUGAGGCGCGAAAGCGUGGGGAGCAAACAGG
rnacentral:rRNA from 1 species